CUCAAAAACCAAAAAGAAAUCUAUUAGAAAACUUUCAAAAUUGUUUUAAGCAAAAAAGGAAAGCAAUAUUAUACAAGGAUACAUAUGGUAUGACGUACUAGAAAAGACACAUAAAAGAAAUCAUGACCUGGACCGAACCAUGUGAAUCCAAUGCCCCAAAAACUGCAUCACCACAGCACAACCCAAUGCCUCCCCAAUGAAUAUGGUUCUGGUGGAGAAAAUAAAGCCCCUCAUUUCACACCAUGCCCAAGAUAGAGAAUAAUACAGUGGUUAUUCAACACUAACAGCUGGUAACUGAGCUAGCUGGCAUCCAUCUCUCCAAGUGAGAGGUCUCGUAUUCAAACCUGAGUAGUGGCAAAUAACUAUCUUAUUCUCAAAAAAGAUAAGGGAAAGAUAAAAAAAAUCCAAAGUAGAACAAUCAAGAGAGAAGCUCGUACUGCUAUUAACAACAGAGAAAACAGACUUGAGAAUGUGGAGGCUCUAAACAAGAAUGGAAAUGAGAGAGCCAGAAGCUCACAAAGCCAUCGAUCAAAUGACCAACAACUCCUUAACAAAAACAAUACCAACGGCUAAUUAAAUCAUGUUCAUAGCUGUCCCAUGAUCCAGUAUUCACCCCAUAUACAAAAUAUGCAUAUAUUAGUAGUUGGUAGUAUAAUAUUAUAAGCUCCAGAAAAAUCACAGAAAAUAUAUUAUAGUCAGUCUGGUUGUAAGAAAUAACUAACAUGUCCCAAUUGACGAGCAUUUUCAAUUGUAUUAAAUGCUUUUGUCUUGAAUAUAUGUAUUCACAUAUGAUAUUCUGAUAUAUUUCUUCACAAGUUGCCCUUGGUAGUUGCAACUCUAUCCAUCUACAUUUGUUGCGCUUGGUAGUUGGUAACUCUACCCAUCUAUAUUUCCUUGGCAUAUUAUUUGAAAACAAACUUGCAUGGCUUGUUGCAUUUGUUUUUAUUAUGUUCUGCAGGCUUGUUCUACAUUGAUAAUGACUACAUUAUUACCUCAAUAUUGUUUAACAUUAAUAUGCUAAUUAGGUACAUGUACAUGUGUGUGUGUAAUGAGGAAAGACAAGGACAGGGCCCCCAUAAUCUAUUAGUAUAAAUGACAUUUGCAGGCUAAUAAAGGAAGAAAUUACAAUAUAUUCGAUAAUCUCUACUGAACCAUGGCAUGACUUUCAGCUUUCUUUCCAGUGCAGAGUGACCCCCAAGGUUAAAACGAUCUAAGCAUGGUUUCUAGAACAGACCUUGCUGAGCCCUGAUUGUUACCUAGUAGAUUCUUUAGCUCUUGAUACCUAGCACUCUGUCAACCAUAAAUUCCACAUUUGUACCCAUGUGAAUACAUACUUGUAAAUCAAUUAAAAUAAUUGCUGUCUUGAAUGAAAUUUUACAAGUAUUAUUUUUGUUUACAAGUAUUAUUUUUUUGGGAUGGAGAUGCAAGUACAGUUGAGUUCAAGAAUCUCACAUAAUUGAUUUUGUUAUACUAAACUUUCAUGCUAGGUAAAACAAUUAGUACCCACUACAAGGAAAGCAGAGGAAAUGAGCCAGAGUUACCUUUAUUUGAUAUACAUACAAUAAGAACUGCCACCAAUAACUUUUCUGAUGAUAAUAAACUUGGAGAGGGUGGAUUUGGCCCUGUUUACAAGGUAAUUUUUUUGAUUAUACGGCAUACUACUAUUUGAUCCUACAGUUAUGCAAGAUAUAAACUCUUUGAAAAAAGAGCAUUGUGGAACUCACCUAAAUAUAGCAAUUAGCAGGGUCAGUUGGAAGAUGGAGAAAAUAUUGCUGUCAAGAGGUUGUCCAAAGAUUCUGUGCAGGGCAUACACGAAUUCACAAAUGAGGUGGUGCUGAUAGCCAAACUUCAGCACAGAAAUCUUGUUCGCCUUCUCGGCUGCUGCAUUGAAGGAGAGGAACGAUUGCUGGUGUAUGAGUACUUGCAAAAUACAAGUUUGGACUGUUUCAUAUUCGGUUUGGUCUUUAUCCUUGCACCAUUUGACUACUUUAUGCUCUAUAUACAAUGCAAUGUCUGAUGGACAUCUAGCAAGCUUAGUGACUAUAUUUGAUUUAGUUGAUCAUCAUGCAUUCUCAGACUUCUGCUUAGCUCUUCUAAGUAGGUAAACUAUGCAGGAUUUUAGAAAACUAAGACUGGAUUAUGAGGCAAUGAUUAACAAUUAAGAUGGAUAUAUUUUUCUUCCAUAUCAGGUUAAAUUAUUUCAAACAUAAUAAUUGUUAAUUAAGCUUAGACCACCAUGAAGAAUAUCUAUCUAACUUUUCAGACACUAUAUAGAUUUUUAUCAUUCAAAAAAAAAGGGUAUAUGGCAUGAAUUUGUAGGGACUGAAAUUAUCACAGAAUGCAUUUUAGUUAAUCAAGUUGGUUAUUUUAAAAGAUCAAAAGAGGUGGUGGUGAUGGUGGCUGUAGAUAAUCUGACUCGUCUAACUUGGCACUUACUUUACGCUUAAUCUCACCACCACGUAUUAGAUCUCCUAUUGAAAUGAAAUGGGCAGAAUCUCAACCUCACAUCAUUGCUAAUAAACUAAGGUGCAAAAUUAUUUUAUUUCAUCUAGUAUAACGAUUAGCAUAUAAGGCAUUCUUCCUGGUGCUAAAUAUAAGUUCAACUUAUGAUUAUAAGGUUAAUCAAGGAUUUAAAGAGUAUAAUAUUUCUAAAUGAUAAAUUAUGUUUAUUUGAAAUAUGUAGUGGACUUAUCUCAAAGGGGAAAAGGUAAAGAACAAGUAGCUAAGUUGAAUUUCAGACUACAUUUGUCAAACUAAUAAGAAGUGUAACUUUGGACCAGAUAGGACAAGAAGUGCACUUUUGAAUUGGCAAAAGCGCCUCGACAUCAUCUUAGGAAUUGCUCGAGGACUUCUUUACCUUCACCGAGACUCUAGGUUGAAAAUUAUUCACAGAGAUCUGAAGACCAGUAAUAUUCUUCUUGAUGAGGAGCUGAACCCAAAAAUCUCAGACUUCGGCACUGCAAGAAUUUUUAAGGUUGACCAAAUUGAAGAGAAUACAAUCAGAGUUGUUGGGACAUAGUAAGUACAUAAGUGUAUCAAUUCAUAAAGUAUAAACCUGAGUGCAAUAUCCUAGAUGCAUAAACUAAUUUUGUUAAUGACAUGCAGUGGAUAUAUGUCACCGGAGUAUGCAAUGGAUGGUAUCUUUUCAGUGAAAUCAGAUGUCUUCAGCUUUGGUGUUCUAGUGUUAGAAAUCUUAAGUGGUAAGAAGAACAGAAUGAUCAAUCAAGCAAAAGCUCGUUUAAACCUUUUAGGACAUGUGAGUACUCGAAUGCAAUAAUGUCAUCAUUCUAAAUAUAACUUCUAGUUGUUCAUUCUAAACAUACAUGGGUUAUCACAGGCAUGGGGACUAUGGACAGAAGGUAGAUGCUUGGAAAUACUUGAUGAAGCAGUGGGAUGUGCAUAUCCAGAGUCUAAAGUAUUACGGUGUAUCCAAGUGGCUCUCUUGUGUGUGCAAGAAGGGAGUGAAGAUAGACCGACAAUGGCAGAGGUAGUGCUCAUGUUAGGCACUGAAAGUGCACUGCUACCUCAGCCUAAAAGGCCAGGCUUCUGCAUAGCUGCUCCUUUGAUGGAAAGAGAUUGGUCUUCCAGCAAUAAACUUACAGUUACAAUUGAAGGUCGAUAGAAAUCUCUGACAUGAGUUUUUUUUUGUGUGUGUGUGUGUUUGUGUGGGGAUUCUACAAAUAUAUUAGUCAGGCACGGUUCAAAGUAUCUUACUAUGAUUUUAAUUGUUCGUAUGCCUUUUCAUUAUCUCUAUAAAUCCAACUAGGGAUUUCAUUGAAAAAAUGUUCAAAGUAGCAAAUUCUCCUCAGUUUCACGGAGAUAAGAUUAAGAGAUUCAGGUGUAAGAAAGAAAAAACAGUGCUUCCAGAUACAAACAUAGUUCGCACUACCAAUGCAUUUAAAGAACAUAAUAUAUGCAAAAACUGUUCCUACACAAACAAGAAUAAUAAGUGAAGAAGAGCAAAAACCAAAAUCGAUUUUGCGAUUUUAGGUGACAGUGAGUGAAUAGGAAUAAAACUUCAAAAAUAUUAUCCAGAACAUUAUCGCAAAUGCAGUAGUGAUAUUAAAACUAGUUCACUGGCAUCAAAAACAUUAUCUUUGGAUUUUCUAACUAUAAAAUAUUAGAACAGAAUACAUUUUCACCUGAGGUAUUCCAACAGAGUCCCCUGAGUUGGAGAAUUUGUCAUUAGAUAAUGCUAAAAUAAACAAUAUAUAAACAAAUGAAAUUUUCACACAUCUUAUAUAUCUUCUUACAAUAUACUAUUCCUUACUUCCUUCCCAUCAUCUCUUUCCACCACCACACCCCAGAUCCUCUCAUCAUCAGUUCCGUCAGAGUCCCCCCCAUGCAUCUAAGCCACCAUGGUCCCUACUACCUUCACCCUUUGCCCUCCUUUUGAUUAGAAUUUUCAUUCAUAUUUGGUUAAAGGAAGCAACGCUGCACCAUAUUUUCAGUAGCACUGUGAAAAUUUUAAAAAAAUAAACACCGAACAUGGUCCAACCUACCGUUAUGUCCAUUGGCACUGCACCAAGAUCCUCUCUUUCUUCAUCAUCUACUCGGUUAAGUUACCGCCCUUCUGUCACUUCCCUUAGUUUCAGUUUUUGAAACUAAAACAGAAAAUAUUAAUGAUAAUACGAAUCAAGAAAUAGAAGAAACUAACGAUGAAUCAAAACCCCACAAGCUCAAACCCUCUAAGAAUUGAUGAAAACCCCCACUGGAACAAGAACCAGUUAAUUUCCUCUGGAACUCAAAAAAACAAGUGAAGCAAAAAUCGAAACCCUAGGUCAGAAACACUCGGCAUUUGUUCAAAACCCUGAAAGGACCAAGGAUCUCAUGAAAGGAAGAACAAGAAGAGUGAAGGGGAGAAGAAAGAGAGGAGAGAUGAGAGAUAGAAUGCCGAAAGCACCGGUGAAGAUUCGUAGUGGAUAGGGGAUCAUGAACUUCCAAUGGCCAUAC
rnacentral:lncRNA from 1 species